rnacentral:rRNA from 1 species
GCUAAGAGAUCAGCCUAUGUCCUAUCAGCUUGUUGGUAAGGUAAUGGCUUACCAAGGCUAUCGACGGGUAUCCGGGCCUGAGAGGGUGAACGGACACACUGGAACUGAGACACGGUCCAGACUCCUACGGGAGGCAGCAGUAGGGAAUAUUGCUCAAUGGGGGAAACCCUGAAGCAGCAACGCCGCGUGGAGGAUGAAGGUUUUAGGAUUGUAAACUCCUUUUGUUAGAGAAGAUAAUGACGGUAUCUAACGAAUAAGCACCGGCUAACUCCGUGCCAGCAGCCGCGGUAAUACGGAGGGUGCAAGCGUUACUCGGAAUCACUGGGCGUAAAGAGCGCGUAGGCGGGAUAGUCAGUCAGGUGUGAAAUCCUAUGGCUUAACCAUAGAACUGCAUUUGAAACUACUAUUCUAGAGUGUGGGAGAGGUAGGUGGAAUUCUUGGUGUAGGGGGUAAAAAUCCGUAGAGAUCAAGAGGAAUACUCAUUGCGAAGGCGACCUGCUGGAACAUUACUGACGCUGAUUGC